UACGGAGGGGGCUAGCGUUGUUCGGAAUUAUUGGGCGUAAAGGGCGCGUAGGCGGCCGAAUAAGUCUGACGUGAAAUCCCCCGGCCCAACCGGGGAACUGCGUUUGAUACUGUUCGGCUCGAGUCCGGGAGAGGGUAGUGGAAUUCCCAGUGUAGCGGUGAAAUGCGUAGAUAUUGGGAGGAACACCGGUGGCGAAGGCGGCUACCUGGACCGGUACUGACGCUGAGGCGCGAAAGCGUGGGGAGCGAACAGG
rnacentral:rRNA from 1 species